rnacentral:lncRNA from 1 species
CCAUGUCCCACGAAACCUCUCUUUCCAUUAAAUUAAAACGUCUCUUUCCAGGAAACCUCCAUAUUGUCUCAUAAUAGUCCCAACAAAACAAAAAACAAGACUACCACAAACAAAAAUGAUGUACAUGACAGAUGCCUGCUGAAUCAGAACAGAUCAAAAACAACAGCCAUGAACACCCACAGAGGCAUAAAAAGCCAACUAUGCCUGUACGAGUAAUAAGAAGCAGUAUAGCACUUCACUAAUCAUCUCCCAGAACCCACAAUAGAUUGUUAGGCCUUGCAACGCCCUCCUUAGCGAGGUUGUCUGCGGCAUCGUUACCUGAUCUCAGUAUAUGCUUAAUCACCCCACCCGCUACCUUGUCAAGAAGCUUGAGAAUUUGAAUGACAAGCGACCUUACUUUUCAGGUACUUCGGCUGGGUUUCAGAUCCAAAGCAAAACGUUGCUAGAGUCACAUUCAAGAAGGAGAGUGUGUGUGGAAUUCCAUCUUGAAGCUGCAACAAUCAGUACCGCCUCCCUUACCGCAAGUAGUUCAGCUUUGCUAGCAUAAGAGGUUCCAAUUGCUUUAGAGAAUAAAGCAAGAGUGUCACCAUUUACGUUUCUCAAAAUACCACCUGUUAUGUUCCGUAUAAAUAUAGAGAAAGCUAGGAAACAAGUGAUGUCCCUUUCUUGUUCUUUACAUAUGAUUUUGGACUAACUAUGUGAUCAAGUGACCUAGACUUCUCUAAGAUCCGAUUCCUUCACCCCAACCAAACAUUCCCUUCCUUAGUUCGAUGGAAUCUUACCCAGUUCAUUCCUGCACUGGCAAGAAGCUAUUACUUUCUAACUUCAGCUUGAAAACAGAUUGAAAGGAAAGAUGAUAUAAUUCAUUAUCCUACUGGCUGGCCUUACUAAAAGAAAAGCACCAUGACUUCGCCUAGCUAGCACAGAAACCUUCGUCUGCUUUGCCUUUUCCGCAUUUUCAAAUUGUAUGAAAUUCCCAUCUCUCAAGAGUCAAAUGGGCUACGAAACUCGCUAAUCCAACAACACUGCUUUUUCAUUAGCUUAUGAAAGCAGAAAAAGGAGUUCCCG